AUUGAACGCUGGCGGCAGGCCUAACACAUGCAAGUCGAACGAGUGGCGGACGGGUGAGUAAUGUCUGGGAAACUGCCUGAUGGAGGGGGAUAACUACUGGAAACGGUAGCUAAUACCGCAUACCAUCAGAUGUGCCCAGAUGGGAGUAGCUAGGUGGUGGAGUAACGGCUCACCAGGGCGACGCUCCCUAGAGGGUCUGAUAGGAUGACAAGCCACACUGGAACUGAGCCACGGUCCAGACUCCUACGGUAGGCAGCAGUGGGACAUAUUGCACAAUGGUGGCAAACCCGGUGCAGCCAUGCCGCGUGUAUGAAGAAGUCCUUCGUGUUGUAAAGUAAGUUCAGCGGGGAGGCGUUACCCGCAGAAGAAGCACCGGCUAACUCCGUGCCAGCAGCCGCGGUAAUAC
rnacentral:rRNA from 1 species